CCUACGGGUGGCAGCAGUGAGGAAUAUUGGUCAAUGGACGAGAGUCUGAACCAGCCAAGUAGCGUGAAGGAUGACUGCCCUAUGGGUUGUAAACUUCUUUUAUAUGGGAAUAAAGUGUUCACCGAGUGGGACUUUGUAUGUACCAGAUGAAUAAGCAUCGGCUAACUCCGUGCCAGCAGCCGCGGUAAUACGGAGGAUCCGAGCGUUAUCCGGAUUUAUUGGGGUUAAAGGGUGCGUAGGUGGAUUGUUAAGUCAGUUGUGAAAGUUUGCGGCUCAACCGUAAAAUUGCAGUUGAAACUGGGAUUCUUGAGUACAGUAGAGGUGGGCGGAAUGCGUGGUGUAGCGGUGAAAUGCAUAGAUAUCACGAAGAACUCCGAUUGCGAAGGCAGCUCACUGGAGUGCAACUGACACUGAGGCUCGAAAGUGUGGGUAUCAAACAGGAUUAGAUACCCGAGUAGUC
rnacentral:rRNA from 1 species